AAGUCGUAACAAGGUCUCCGUAGGUGAACCUGCGGAGGGAUCAUUACUGAGUGAGGGUGCCCCCGGGCGCCGCACCUCCCAACCCUUUGUUUUGACCAACACCUCAGUUGCCUCGGGGGUGACCCGGCCCUCUCGGGUCCGGGGGCCCCCGCCUGGACACGACCAUCAACGCUGCAAUCUCUGCGUCGAGUCGAUGAAUGCAGAUCAAUCAAAUC
rnacentral:misc_RNA from 1 species